GAAUUGACUCAUAAUUGCCUAAGACUUUAUCAGUAAUACACAAACAGCGCAGAAGGUCAGCCUCAUUAUAAAUUUAAAUGAGCAACAUUUUUGGUAUAAUUUGUAUGACUUUCUGUCUACUGUUUUGCUAGCGAAUAUAUGAAAUUAUACCUCAAACGGGAUAGUUGCACUCAUUAAAAUUAACACUCUUUUGGACAAUAUAACAGACGGCAAUAAUUAGUUUUGUUGAAUAAAA